UGAGUAUAUAAAGCUGCUGCUUUCUUUCAGCUGAGUUCAGAAACUCAACAAUCGCAAAGGUUUCGUCACAUUUAAUAUCGUUUCCUGUCGACAAGUCGAACAACAACAAAAAUGCUCCCACGGUGUGUUCUGUUGCUGCUCCUGGCCUUUGUGGCUGUUUCACUGGCAGCUCCUACCACUGCUCCAUUGUCUGACAACGAUGACGAAUUUGACGACUCCAACGAUUCCAACACCACCACCGCUGCCCCCACCACCGAUGGUAAAGAUCAUACCCUACUGUGACAUCAC